rnacentral:lncRNA from 1 species
UCUGUGGGUUGCGCUGGCCCUGAGACAUAGGUGCAAGGCCUCUUCACCCAGGAAGGGAGGAGGAAUUUCUCCUGUUCUAGCAGAGAGAGGACACCGUGGCCAUGCACUCACACACACAAGUCUGACCUGGAGCAGAGGCCACUUACCGCGGGCGUGGAACAGAUGCUGCUCGGAGCCUGGGGACAAGGUCAGCCAACCCAGAUCCAGCACUUUGAGUCUCCCUGGGUCUCCAACUGCCCAUCCAUCUCUUUUGGCUGGGAGCCCGGGGGUCCAGGGUAUCCUCAGUGAGAUCUCCUGACCCUGUGGUCACUCAUUGCCAAACCCUGUCCCUGCUGA